CCUGCACGAAGUCGGAAUUGCUAGUAAUCGCAGAUCAGCAUGCUGUGGUGAAUACGUUCCCGGGCCUUGUACACACCGCCCGUCACACCAUGGGAGUCGGUAACACCCAAAGUUGGUAGUCUAGCCGCAAGGAGGACGCCGCCUAAGGUGGGAUUGAUGACUGGGGUGAAGUCGUAACAAGGUACC
rnacentral:rRNA from 1 species